GGACUCUUGAGAGAAUUCAAGCAUUUGUAA
rnacentral:piRNA from 1 species